GCCGGGCGUAGUGGCGGGCGCCUGUAGUCCCAGCUACUCCGGAGGCUGAGGCAGGAGAAUGGCGUGAACCUGGGAGGCGGAGCUUGCAGUGAGCCGAGAUCGCGCCACUGCACUCCAGCCUGGGCGACAGAGCAAGACUCCAUCACAAAACAAACAAACAAACAAACAAAAAAAAAAAAACCAGCCUGGGCGAGGCCAAGUGUGGCGGAGUGCAGUGGCACCAUCUCGGCUCACUGCAACCCCCGCCUCCUGGGUUCAAACGAUUCUCCUGUCUCAG
rnacentral:SRP_RNA from 1 species